rnacentral:rRNA from 1 species
CCUACGGGCGGCAGCAGUGAGGAAUAUUGGUCAAUGGGCGAGAGCCUGAACCAGCCAAGUCGCGUGAGGGAGUACUGCCCUAUGGGUUGUAAACCUCUUUUGUCGGGGAGCAAAAGCCGGAAGUGUCCGGCUGUGAGAGUACCCGAAGAAAAAGCAUCGGCCAAUUCCGUGCCAGCAGCCGCGGUAAUACGGAGGAUGCGAGCGUUAUCCGGAUUUAUUGGGGUUAAAGGGGGCGCAGGCGGAUUUUUAAGUCAGCGGUCAAAUCGUGGGGCUCAACCCCAUCCAGCCGUUGAAACUGGGGAUCUAGAGUGUGCGAGAGGUAUGCGGAAUGCGUGGUGUAGCGGUGAAAUGCAUAGAUAUCACGCAGAACCCCGAUUGCGAAGGCAGCAUACCGGUGCACAACUGACGCUCAGGCACGAAAGCGUGGGUAUCGAACAGGAUUAGAUACCCCAGUAGUC